CGAAGCGCUAAACACGCUAUAAACCAUGUGAAUCUACCCGAUUUAUUCUUUGGCAGGCGGCCCCAGGGCGGGGCCGGUAGCCGCAAGGUGCCUGCCAGAGGACCAAAACUCGUUGUUACUGUCGUCUGAGUAUCAUACCAAAUAGUCA
rnacentral:misc_RNA from 1 species